AAAACUAGUUUUGAGAAAGAAGAUGAAAGGCUCAAUCUCUAACUCCUGGAUGCCAGGAAGCAGAGAUUUUCAGAAUCAAAAACAAAUUAAGAGCUCACAGCCCCACCCCUCAAGGGUCACAUAAGUUGGUGCUGUUGCUUGUAACUAAUUCCAGAUUUUAGUUUUUUCUUUACCCAAAAUUAAAACUAAGGACACAAUACUCUUCAAAAAUACCAAUACCCUGAGAUACAUCACUAACAGAAUCUACAUAAGGCUUUGCUAUUUAGGUACAGUUAGUAAAAUUCAUAUUUA
rnacentral:lncRNA from 1 species